GAAAUAUACAGAUUAUUGCUAGGCAGAGUUGUUAUUUACAUUAAUAAUUAAAUUUGUGCGAUCCAAAUUGGUCUGAUUUUUAUUUAUUUAAUUUUUUUUAUAGUUAUUUAUAAAUUUUAUAGAAAUAACUUAAUUUUUAGUAUUUUUUAAUGAAUUAAUAUUUUAUUAUUUAUAGUUAAUUUUACUGUAAAGGUGAAUUUUUGUAAAAUUGUUAAAGUAAAAAAUUGUUUUGUACCUUUUGCAUCAGGGUUUAUCAAUUUUAAAUUAAGUAAUUUAAUUAUCCCGAAAUAAUAAGAGAUACUCUAUUUUGUUAUUUUAUAUUAUAUAAUAAUUAAUAAAAUUAGGGUAGGAGUUAUAUGCUAUUCAUUUAUUAAUAUCUGGUUUCUUGAGAAUUAAAUUUAAUUUAGAAUUAUUAGGGUAUUAUUAUAUUUUAUUAUAUAUACUUUAAUAAUUUAAUAUUAUAAGGGAUUAGCUUUUUAAUAUUUAUAUAACUGCUUUCUUUUAUAUUAUAUUUUAUAGGGUUAAUAACACCCAUUUUUAUUUCGUUAUAGUUAUUUAUGUUUCUUUUAUUUAUUUUUUAUUGGUUUAUAUAUUUAUCAAGAUUUAUUAAUUAAUUUAAAUAUUAAUAUUAAUAAUGAUAAAAUUAGUAGUUUUAGUAUUUUAUAUAUAGUAAUUCGGCAAUUUUAAUAUUCACCUGUUUAACAAAAACAUGGCUUAUUGUAAAUUUAUAUUAAGUCUUACCUGCUCAAUGAUAUUUAAUAUAUUAAAUAGCCGCAGUAUAUUGACUGUGCAAAGGUAGCAUAAUCAUUUGUCUUUUAAUUGGGGACUUGUAUGAAUGGUUUGAUGAGAUAUUAACUUUCUUUAUAUAAAAUUAAAAAAUUUAAUGUUUUAGUUAAAAAGCUAAAAUAAUUUUAAGGGACGAGAAGACCCUAUAGAAUUUUAUGUUUUUGAAUUUAAUUUAUGUUUGGUUAUUUUUGAAUUUUACUUUUAAAGAUAUUUUGUUGGGGUGACAGGGAAAUUUAUUUAACUUUCUUUAUUUAUUUUUUAUAGAUUUAUAUUUUUAUGAUCCUAUUUUAAGGAUAUUAAGAUUAAAUUACCUUAGGGAUAACAGCGUAAUUUCUUUGGAGAGUUCUUAUCGAUAAAGGAGUUUGCGACCUCGAUGUUGGAUUAAAAUUAGUAUUAGGUGUAGGGGCUUAAUUUACUAGGUCUGUUCGACCUUUAAAAUUUUACAUGAUCUGAGUUCAGACCGGCGUGAGCCAGGUUGGUUUCUAUCUUUAA
rnacentral:rRNA from 1 species